GACGAACGCUGGCGGCGUGCUUAACACAUGCAAGUCGAACGAUGAAGAAGAGAAACGCGAACUUCGGUUCAAAUUUCACUUCGGAUUAGUGGCAGACGGGUGAGUAACGCGUGAGCAACCUACCUCUUACAAAGGGAUAGCCUCGGGAAACCGUGAUUAAUACCAUAUGACACAUUCAUAAGGCAUCUUAAGAAUGUUAAAGCUACGGCGGUAAGAGAUGGGCUCGCGUCCCAUUAGCUAGUUGGUGAGGUAACGGCCCACCAAGGCGACGAUGGGUAACCGGCCUGAGAGGGUGAACGGUCACAUUGGAACUGAGACACGGUCCAAACUCCUACGGGAGGCAGCAGUGGGGAAUAUUGCACAAUGGAGGGAACUCUGAUGCAGCGACGCCGCGUGAGCGAUGAAGUAAUUCGUUUCGUAAAGCUCUGUUCUAUGGGAAGAAAAGGACUGUACCAUAGGAGAAAGCCCCGGCUAAAUACGUG
rnacentral:rRNA from 1 species